rnacentral:rRNA from 1 species
UGUUACUCUGAGUGUAAAGAAUAAAUAGAGAAGAUAUUUUGCUGGGCGACUACGUUAUAACUAGUAAAAGUCGAAGUACUUGGCGGUCUAAAAUAAUCAGCCCGUGAGACUUGACGGUUAAACCGAUGAUCCGCGUGAUAUCUUACUUACCUUUGAAAAAUCAGCUGGUGUAAGGUCGUAGUCAGUUUAUGUUGUGAGGGUAUAGGCAAGCAUUCUUUGUCGGAAUUAAUUCAGAUCGUUUUGCUGCCUAUGGGUAAGGCUUAGUUGAGUCACAUUGAUAAGAAUUAAACUAAAAGUCUCUAAGAAAAGAGGGCUGGAGGAAGGAAUGGGUAGUAGUGCGGAAGUAGUGCGUCUUCGCGAAUAGUAAAUUUUUAGGUGUACAAAUCGCCC